rnacentral:lncRNA from 10 species
AAAAAAAAAAAAAAAAAAAGUAGAUUUUUUUUCUCUUAACUCAGCUCAAGAACAACCAGCAAAGGUAGAUUUUUUAAAAACAGUUUUGUUGAAAUGAUUCACAUACCAUACCUCAUUUAAAACAUACAAUUCAACAAAUUUUAAUAUAUUCAUGGAGUUGAGCAACCAGCACUACAAUCAUUUUUAGAACAUUUUUAUCAUUUUGAAAAGAACUAGUCAAUUUUUGAGGAGUUGAAAUUCUUGAAAGUACAAUCUCAUUGCACUUUCCCCUCAUCCCUUGGUUACCAUCAGUCUACAUUUUGUCUCUAUGGAUUUGCUUGUUCUAGACUUUCAUAUAAAUUGAAUCAUAUAAUAUGUGGUCUUUUGUGACCAGCUUCCUUCACUUAGCAUUUUUUUUACACUAGAUGUAAUUUGAUGUACACUUAGCAUGUUUUUAAGAUUGUAGUAUGAGUACUUCAUUCCUUUUAAUAACUUAAUAAGUCAUCAUAUGGCUAUAACACAUUUUGUUUAUCCACUCCUCAGUUGAUGAGCAUUUGGGUUGUUUCUGCUUUUUGACUAUUAACAAGUAAUGCUGCCAUGAACAUUAAUGUACAGGAUUUUUGCACAGAUAUAUAUUUUCAUUUCUUUUGGGCAUAUAUCCAGGAGCGGAAUAGUUGUGUCUCACAUAGUAACUCUAUGUUUCACAUUUUGCGAUACUGACAGACCAUUUUCCACAAUUGGUGCACUAUUUUACAUUCCUACCAAUAAUGUACAACGGGUCCAGUUUUUCCAAAUCCUCACCAAUACUUGUUAUUAUCUGUGUUUUUGAUUAUAGCCAUCCUAGUGUGUGUGAAUGACAUCUCAUUGUAGUUUUGAUUUGCAUUUGCCUGAUAGUUAAUGAUGUUGUGCAUCUUUUUAUAUGCUGUUGGUCAUUUGUAUAUGUUCUUUAGAGAAAUGUCUAUUCAGGCCAGGCGCGGUGGCUCAAGCCUGUAAUCCCAGCACUUUAGGAGACUGAGGCGGGUGGAUCACUGGAGGUCAGGAGUUCAAGACCAGCCUGGCCAACAUGGCGAAACCCCAUCUCUACUAAAAAAUACAAAAAUUAGCUGGGCGUGGUGGUGGGCUCCUGUAAUCCCAGCUACUCGGGUGGCUGAGGCAGGGAGAAUUCCUUGAACCCUGGAGGUGGAAGUUGCAGUGAGCCGAGAUCAUGCCACUGCACUCCAGCCUGGGUGACAGAGUAAGACUGUCUCAAAAGAAAGAAAGAAAUAAAGUAAAAGAGAGAAAUGUCUAUUCAGCCCAUUUGCCCAGUUUUUAAUAAUUAGGUUGUCUUUUUAUUUAGUUUACUAAUACUCGAGUUGUAAUAGUUCUUCAUAUUAAUAUAUGUUUGAUGCAAUCUGUUAUCAGAUAUUGUUUGCAAAAUUUUUCUCCUGUGGGUUGUCUUUUCACUUUCUUUCUUGAUGAGAUUGAGAAGUAUGAGUCUUCCUACUUUAUUCUUCUUUUUCUUUUUUAUUUAAUUUAAUUUUUUUUGAAACAAGAGUUUCAGUCUGUUGCCCAGGAUGGAGUUCAGUGUCGCCUUGACCUACACUGCUCACUGUAGCCUCGACAUCCUCAGCUGAACCAAUCCUCCCACCUCAGCCUCCUGAGUAGCUGGGACUACAGGCAUGCGCCACCACUCCCAGCUAAUUUUUAAAAAUUAUUUUUUGUAGAGAUGGGGCAUCACUAUGUUGCCCAGGUUGACCUCAAACUCCUGGUCUCAAGUGAUCCUCCUGUCUUGGCCUCCCAAAGUGGUAGGAUUAUAGUCGUGAACCACUGCACCCAGCCUCGUUCUUCUUUUUCAAGAUUGACUUGGCUAUUCUGAGUCUCUUGCAAAUCUAUAUACAUUUUAGAAUCAGUUUGUCAAUUUCUACAAAUAAGUCAGCUGGAAUACUGAUAGGGAUUGCACUGAAUUUGUAGAUCAGCUUGAGUAGUAUUGCCAUAUUAAUGAUGUUAAAUCUUCUGAUCCAUGAACAUGGGAUGUUUUUCCAUCUAUUUAGAUGUUUAGAAAUUUCUUUCAAUAUUUUAUAAUUUUCCCCUUCUUUUGUUAAAUUUAUUCACAAGUAUUUAUUUGUUUAUUUAUUAUUGAUUUAUUGAGAUGGAGUCUCACUCUGUCUCCCAGGCUGGAGUGCAGUGGCGUGAUCUCG